GACGAACGCUGGCGGCGUGCUUAACACAUGCAAGUCGAACGGAAAGGCCCUGCUUUUGUGGGGUGCUCGAGUGGCGAACGGGUGAGUAACACCUGAGUAACCUGCCCUUGACUUUGGGAUAACUUCAGGAAACUGGGGCUAAUACCGGAUAGGAGCUCCUGCUGCAUGGUGGGGGUUGGAAAGUUUCGGCGGUUGGGGAUGGACUCGCGGCUUAUCAGCUUGUUGGUGGGGUAGUGGCUUACCAAGGCUGUGACGGGUAGCCGGCCUGAGAGGGUGACCGGCCACAGUGGGACUGAGAUACGGCCCAGACUCCUACGGGAGGCAGCAGUGGGGAAUAUUGCACAAUGGGCGGAAGCCUGAUGCAGCAACGCCGCGUGCGGGAUGACGGCCUUCGGGUUGUAAACCGCUUGCGCCUGUGACGAAGCGUGAGUGACGGUAAUGGGUAAAGAAGCACCGGCUAACUACGUG
rnacentral:rRNA from 1 species